CCACUCCCCCCUCCGGCCAUGGCUUCCGCGCUUGGGUUCGAUUCAUUCCAUAGAUUCCACCGCCACUUCAGGAUAUCCGGAGCGCGUGCGCGGUUACUCGUGCGGGGAUCCAUCUGGGCGUGCCCGUGCCCGCGAGGUUCUAGCUUUCGACUCGGCACGGCACGCCGCUUCGUUUGUAUCGUUGCACGUCACCGUCGAGUCAUUAUUACUCAUUAGCCAAUCGCAUUACGUCUGUCACCGCUUAAGAUUAGCUUGCUUGCGACGCUGUUUUGACGGAUCGAAGGGAACGGGUGGGAUGAAAUAUAAAUACAAGAGCUGCCCCUUUGUGACAGUGGGUAUUUUGAAUAUAAGCCCCUGAAGUCCUUAAAUUUUCUGGUAUGUGUAUCCUUGAGGAUGUUGCGCAUAAUUGGACCCCCUUAACUGCCAAUUUGCACAUUUGGCCUUGUUUCGGCACUUGCUUCCUUUCUCGCCAAACAGGAGCUUAAAUAUCAUCACUCAGAAAGAGGGUUGCUGUUCUGGAGUACACACGAUUACGAAGAAGUUGGGUGUCACAUUGUCUACUUGUUGAUUCUUGUUUUGCGCACAAUUGAGCUGUUGAAUUCACAGUCUACUGACCAAACGAUAUAAAAAUAUUGUUAUGUAAAGCUUCAAAAUCCCUGCUAUGCUUCUGUUUCUCACCAUUAACACAAGUUGCCAAGCAUUCUACAUGAAUCAUUGUUCCACAUGAUACUGUUUAAGAUUUGACAUUACUACUACUCACAGGUCCUCAUUGUAUUGACGGAAAAUGUCAUGCUCAAAGAUUGUGUUGGCACAUGGCUGUAUAUUACAUGACCAUGGGUUGAAAAGCUAAAGCCAUCAUAAAACAGAUGAAGAAAUGACAUAAGGAAUGGUAAACUUCAACCCUGAGGUGUCAGCACACACAGCCAAGCCUCCAACAGCUUUAGUUGAUGUGAAGAGGAGUGUCAUACUGUCAAUUAUCUACUGCAACAUUAUUGCCCAUCAUGUCCAGAGCCCUUUGCCUUAUUAUGUUGCUUGUAUCGUUCCAGUUUUUUUGCAUUCCUAAAUUUAAACAAUUGUUGUAAAUGCUAAGCAGAUGGUUACAUGUGGCAAAUAAUAUUCUUGCAAGAAGAAAACCUCAGCCAAGCUGGCCGAGGAAACCCCUGAACCCUGUGUGUUAGCAACCACUGCAACUACCCCCUGGUAGGAGGGCCCAAACCAACCACAGAUGCCACAGGCUGGCACCUUGCCACUAUUUUUUGGGUUGCCAGCGAUUUUUUUUUUGCCACCAGGACUUGAACCCUGGUUGGUGUCUUCCUCAACUGGGAAGCUUCCCACUACAUUACAGGAGUGUUGGCAGUUGAUUCCAUUCAGUUUGCUUGUUUUUUUUUAAAAAAAAGUUAAAAUGCAAACAUGGGAAAUUUAUGGUUUGUUAAUCAAUUUACAUUAAACUGUGAGCACCAUACUUAUUGAAGGAAU